UCAUUGGAGAGUUUGAUCCUGGCUCAGGACGAACGCUGGCGGCGUGCCUAACACAUGCAAGUCGAACGGGACCAGGGGCAACUCUGGUUCAGUGGCGGAC
rnacentral:rRNA from 1 species